AGCGAACGCUGGCGGCAGGCUUAACACAUGCAAGUCGAGCGGGCAUAGCAAUAUGUCAGCGGCAGACGGGUGAGUAACGCGUGGGAACGUACCUUUUGGUUCGGAACAACACAGGGAAACUUGUGCUAAUACCGGAUAAGCCCUUACGGGGAAAGAUUUAUCGCCGAAAGAUCGGCCCGCGUCUGAUUAGCUAGUUGGUGAGGUAAUGGCUCACCAAGGCGACGAUCAGUAGCUGGUCUGAGAGGAUGAUCAGCCACAUUGGGACUGAGACACGGCCCAAACUCCUACGGGAGGCAGCAGUGGGGAAUAUUGGACAAUGGGUGCAAGCCUGAUCAGCUUUGCCGCGUGAGGGCCGAA
rnacentral:rRNA from 1 species